rnacentral:rRNA from 1 species
AUGGCCAGUUUUAGUAUAAAGAUCAAAGAAGCUUAUGCACAUCCAAAAAGAAAAGGAAAGCAGGGUGUAAACUUUCGGAAGAACGGAAUGAUUAUGUCGCCCUGCCUUCUAUAUUUUCCCAUAUAUAGAGAGAGAGACCUCCCUCCCUCGAUUUUUUUUUUGAGAAAUACCCCCUCCCUCGAUUACAAUGCAGAACAAACUGAUGGGCUGCUUUUCUAUGUAAGCCUUGGCCCGUUUCUCCCUACCGAGAGAGUGGCCUCGUUAGCCGCUGGCUUAACCGCCCAGGCCCAGGCGCAGGGCAGCGCCGACGCCCCCAGUGUUGGGACAGCUGGAGCUCCUCUGCCUCUGCGUUGCCUCACCGCCGGUGAGCUCAGGGAUCCACGCCAUCGACGAUCAGUGGUCAGUCGGGCAGGACAGCAGUGA